GCCACGGUAGCUCAGUUGGUAGAGCAGCGGACUGAAAAUCCGCGUGUCGGCGGUUCAAUUCCGUCCCGUGGCACCA
rnacentral:tRNA from 1 species